AGACGUACCUCACGGAAGCCGGCUUUGGCCCUGCGGCUGCUACCGUCGCCGCGGAGAAAUUGUUGGAUCUGGCAGUCUAGGAAUGAAUCUCCUCUCAGCCUUUAAGCUCACCUGGUCAGAAUCCUUGGAUGAGCCUGUGGGACCGUUCCUCCUAGCCCUGUGGUUUGGAACCAGUGGCUUUGGGACUGUAAGAGGAUGGACAAAGGUAGUAUGAGGCCGGGACAGCUCCCCAAAUGCUCGGGCGCCAAGCAUCUGCUGAUUCCACUCUGUGCCUGGCACUUGUGUCUUUCGGUCCUGGCUAGGCCUUGCCACCUCCCCCUGGGCCAGCACCACCCAUGUACCUGUCGGCAGAGCCACAGUUGACUGACUUGCUGUUGAGCUGCUGCUCUUUAGCACGGCUGCAUUUUGAUGGCAGAGGGAGCAGUUAUGCCCAGAGCCCAGCGUGUCGGCAUCACCAGUCUGACCUGAGCACCAUGUGCUGCACGACAUGACACGUGGCACCGGGGGAACUGCCCAGCGUGGAAGGUCUGGGCCAGGUCUGAGCCCAGAUGGGAUCUGGAUGGCCAAGGAACUCUACCUUAAAACCUCAAGUGUCAAGGAGGCAGGGGAGGGGCCAAGAGGGCUGGCAGGGGAAGGGGGCUGGGGAGGGGUCCCAUUUGCAGAGGCUGCUUCCUCUGUCAGUGCCUUUCUCUGCGUAGUCCUUGGUUUCCCAUCUUUCUCUGGCCUGCAUAGACCUACUCCCCCAAUUCUUCAGGUCCCAGCCCUCACCUGCCCCAUUUCCCCAGAUUACCCUGGGCAGAGCAACCAAGGAUAACCAGAUUGAUGUGGACCUGUCUCUGGAGGGUCCGGCCUGGAAGAUAUCCCGGAAACAAGGUAUCCCCCACCCCCUGCCCCAGCAGGAAGCAGUGUGAGGUCGUCCCAGCCUCUCGCUGUCCUUUCUAGCCCUGGGGCUUGGUGUCCAUGGGGACCCUCGUGGACCACCUGAGGCAGGGAUUCCUUGGUGUCUGCAGGAAGCAGAGCUGGUCCAUGGAAGCUCCUGGCUCUCUCUGGCCUUUCCCCAUCCCAUCAAUC
rnacentral:sRNA from 1 species